rnacentral:rRNA from 1 species
AGCGAACGCUGGCGGCAGGCUUAACACAUGCCAGUCGAGCGGGCACUUCGGUGUCAGCGGCAGACGGGUGAGUAACACGUGGGAACGUACCCUUUGGUUCGGAAUAACGCUGGGAAACUAGCGCUAAUACCGGAUACGCCCUUUUGGGGAAAGGCUUGCUGCCGAAGGAUCGGCCCGCGUCUGAUUAGCUAGUUGGUGGGGUAAUGGCCUACCAAGGCGACGAUCAGUAGCUGGUCUGAGAGGAUGAUCAGCCACACUGGGACUGAGACACGGCCCAGACUCCUACGGGAGGCAGCAGUGGGGAAUAUUGGACAAUGGGCGCAGGCCUGAUCCAGCCAUGCCGCGUGAGUGAUGAAGGCCUUAGGGUUGUAAAGCUCUUUUGUCCGGGACGAUAAUGACGGUACCGGAAGAAUAAGCCCCGGCUAACUUCGUG